AUCAAUAUUGUGACUCUCAGACAUGUGUCAGCCACAGGGCUCUCCAGGGCUCCUUCUCUGGGGAUUCUUGUGAAGAUGGAAAAUUAGCCUCCAAUCCUGGGCAGUCUGAGUGAUGGCUUUCCCAGAGGCAGGAGGGUGAGAGGAUCAGAGUGUCAGAGCUGUCAGAGACCUCAGAUUCCAGCUCACCCAAUUCCCUCAUCUUAGAGAUGAGGAAACUGAAGCCAGCGAGGGAGAGCCACUUUCCUCAGCUCACCCAGGAAGUGUGAGGUGGAGACAAGGUCAGAGUCCUUGCUUCUUAGUUCCUACUCAAUGCUGCUUCAGCCUCAUCCAUCUCCCACUGCCAGGAUUGUUAUUGUUUUUGUUUUCUUGUUUACUUUGUACAAAGAUUCUCUCUUUGAAUUUCUCCACCUGUACAGUGGUAGAGUUGCUCUAGGCCAGCACUGUCUAAUAGAAAUAUGUAAGCCUCACAGGUGAUUUUAAAUUUUCUUUCUUUUCCUUAAAUAAACUGGUGAAAUUAAUUUUUAAUACUUUGUUUAACCUAGUAUAUCCAAAAUAUUAUUUCAACAUGCAAUCGCUGUAUGAUUGUUAAUGAGAUAUUUCACGUCGUUUCUUAUUGAAUCUUUGUGAUCUCAUGUGUAUUUUACAGCACAUCUUAAUUUCAGCUCACCACAAUCCGAGUGCUCAACAGCCACACGUGACCAGAGGCUGCAGUGUUGGACAGCAGAGCUCUCGGGCAAUGGUUUCCAGUGCAAGUCUGCCAGUCUACGAUGAAAAGUUUCCUCAUGAUGUAACUAUCCUCCUAAUCACAGAACAAGAAGGUGCCAGGACUACAUUAAUGAAACAGAAGCCGUUUUCUAGUCCCCUGUCAUUGGCUGCAUGGGAGCUUGGAGAAUUAGAAAUAAUUCACCUUUAUUUACAUCUGUGUCCUGCCUCCAGGGGACUUCGCAAGUUUUCUGGCAUCUGGGAUAUAAAGCAAAAUAAAAGAAGAAAGUCUAGUCUGAGAAAGCACAAAUGGAAUAAGUACUUCUCCUGA
rnacentral:lncRNA from 1 species